rnacentral:rRNA from 1 species
UACAGAGGGGGCAAGCGUUGUUCGGAAUUACUGGACGUAAAGAGCGCGCAGGCGGUCGAUCAAGUCGAGUGUGAAAGCCCCCGGCUCAACUGGGGAGGGUCAUUCGAUACUGAUCGACUCGAAGGCAGGAGAGGGUAGUGGAAUUCCCGGUGUAGUGGUGAAAUGCGUAGAUAUCGGGAGGAACACCAGCGGCGAAGGCGGCAUCCUGGACUGGUCCUGACACUCAGGAGCGAAAGCGUGGGGAGCGAUCCGG